rnacentral:lncRNA from 1 species
AACCUUUGUUGUGUUAAGCCAUAGGUUCUGGAGUCAGCCAUUAGCCAAGCCUGACUACUGCAUAUCUCUACCUAACUGCUGCCUCAUCUAUCAUUUGAGGAGAAUGACAUCUACCCCCGGGGAUGUUGGGAAAGCAAAGACAUACUCUGAUAAAGCAGCUGCAGUUCUUAUAAAAUCCAUUGGAAUAAAAGACACACUCAGAUCUGAACAAGACACUGGUUGUCUAUCUGGUUCAGCCACAAAACUGGAAAUUAAGUGACUGACAAUACUGGUGUCAAGAAGCAUGCAAGCUGCUGCCUUGGAGGGUUGAGAGGAGCAGCGGUACAUUGUAAAAGUGAAGAACACACAGCCCAUGCAGCUCAUGCCUUCAAAGAGUUCACAGUCUAGUAGGAGAGAUAGACAGGCAGAUGCUGACAAAAGAUUUUGUUCUUAUUUUCUCAAACUAUUCUGUGUUUUGGAAAUUCUCCCCUUAUGUGACCACACAUUAAACUUCCUCAAGCCGUUCCUCGCCCUUUGUUAAUCCGUUCUUCCUCUUUCCCUAUGCUUUUUCAUGUUCUGAAAUGCCACUCCUAUAGUCAACUCUUUGUAGUUGACUCCCACCCUCUCUCAGUCGUCUCUUGAUUCUCCUUAUCAAUGUUACUAGGAUGACA